rnacentral:lncRNA from 1 species
UGUGAUUGUAAUUCAAGUUGUAUGAGUUGUUGACUUUUAUAUAAUUGGCUACUUGAAUGAUUGUUAUCAUUUUUUUUGUAAUCUGCAUGUAUUUCUAGUCCCACUGACUCAACAAACAUAAUAUCGGAUAUGGCAUUUUUUUAUACGACUGCAAAAAUUAAAAAAUUUUUGGUUCUAUAUUGGUAUGACGUUGGCAUCGUCGUCGUCGUCCGAAGACAUUUGGUUUUCGCACUAUAACUUUAGUAUAAGUAAAUAGAAAAUCUAUGACAUUAACACAAGCUUUAUGACCAUAAAAGGAAAGUUGGGAUUGAUU